UGGGGAAUAUUGCACAAUGGGCGAAAGCCUGAUGCAGCAACGCCGCGUGAGUGAUGAAGGCCUUCGGGUUGUAAAGCUCUGUCUUUUGGGACGAUAAUGACGGUACCAAAGGAGGAAGCCACGGCUAACUACGUGCCAGCAGCCGCGGUAAUACGUAGGUGGCAAGCGUUGUCCGGAUUUACUGGGCGUAAAGGAUGCGUAGGCGGAUUUUUAAGUGAGAUGUGAAAUACCCGGGCUUAACUUGGGUGCUGCAUUUCAAACUGGGAAUCUAGAGUGCGGGAGAGGAGAAUGGAAUUCCUAGUGUAGCGGUGAAAUGCGUAGAGAUUAGGAAGAACACCAGUGGCGAAGGCGAUUCUCUGGACCGUAACUGACGCUGAGGCAUGAAAGCGUGGGUAGCAAACAGGAUUAGAUACCCUGGUAAUCCACGCCGUAAACGAUGAGUACUAGGUGUAGGAGGUAUCGACCCCUUCUGUGCCGCAGUUAACACAAUAAGUACUCCGCCUGGGAAGUACGAUCGCAAGAUUAAAACUCAAAGGAAUUGACGGGGUC
rnacentral:rRNA from 1 species